CACUCCAGCCUGGAUGACAGAGCAAGACUCCAUCUCCAAAAAAAAAAAAAAAAAAAAAAGGCCGACUGGGUCCCUGUGUCCCAGCAACUAGACCCCUUGAGCUGUUGUGUGCACCUUCACUGGCUAUUGGAAGCUAAGACUGGAAGUUACAUUUCUCUGUCCCUUAACUGCUUAGAGUUAAUGCUGUCCAAUGUGGUAGCCACUAACAAUAUUUCAAGUAUUAUGUAAUCACAUAUGGCUAGUGGCUGCCAUACCUGGAUCGUGCAAAGAGAGAACGUUUUUAUCCUCACAGAAAGUUCUGUCAGACAGCACUGGCAUAGAGAGACUGACACUUUCAUUCAUUUAUGUAACUUUUUUUGAUGCUGUCUGAAUAGCCCAGGAAUCUUCUGGAUAGAGCCAGACUGCUUUUGUUUUUAUGGGCCUUGCUGCCCUGAAGCCCAUGAAUUUUAUAAGAUUUAAUUUUAAGGUACUAGAAGUUUUCCUUUUUUGAGGCUGACCCCAGUAGUUUGUGGUGUGGCUAUACCUUCACAUGUCUGUCACUGCACUGGUGUGACUGGUCUGUUCAAAUAGACCAAAUGCAGUCAUGUCCUUAACCACCCACAUGCAUUUACUAUUCCUGUACACCAGAGCAGUUUCCCAGCUCUUAGGAAGAAAAGCACAAUAGAAAUUGUACAUUUAGAAGUCGUUUUUUUGUGAAGAAGUGGCUUCAUAGCCAGGGACCUUGCUGGCAGUCACUGUUGCCCAUUUCCCCUUCAGGCUGCCUCUAUCCAGGCUGCUUCUGUGCUUCCAUGGCUUUUAGUUCAGCAUGUUAGGUGCUCCCUGAAUAUUCAUUCUUAAGACAUUUAGAAUAUCUCAAACUGGUGUUUUGUACCAGAAUGGAAUAAUUUCAAUGGAUUGGGAAGAGGCAAGCAACACUGCUAAGGCCAAGUUAAUUAUUGAGAUAGUUAUGAAGAACUGGGGCCACAAUGGGGAAUGACAAAAUAUUAACGCCAAAAAUUAAGGGCACUAGCAGUCUCUUUAAUUUUAAAGGAGAAAGCUACUGGGAAAGAAGCAGCCAGUUGUCCUUUUUCAUCUCUGUUUUGUUACUUUAAAACAAUUAUUGGCGUUCCUCCCAGCCACAUCUCCUUUUAAUAUCAGCUUGUUGUGGGCAUGAAGACAUGAGAGUCUUUAACAGCAAAAAACAAAAAAAAAA